rnacentral:lncRNA from 1 species
CGUACAACUUCUCCGAGCGUCCCAGCGCGUGAAUGAGAAUUGAGUAAAGCAGUUCGUAAGAGAAACAAACGUUGUGCUUUUGAAGCCACGUAACGAGUGCGUACGCCGUAGAAAUUGAGGAUGACGUUGAGGCGAAGUUUUUCAGAAGAGAGUGCCAGACUGGGGCCGGGACGGCUCGGUAUGACUCGGCGAGUUUUAACUCGGCCAGGUCGAGUUGAGUGGGUGAAGAAGUGUCUGAAUUGGGGUCAGUGGCGCCGUAGAAAUUGAGGAUGACGUGGAGGCGAGGUUUUUCAGAAGAGAGUGCCAGACUGGGGCCGGGACGGCUCGGUAUGACUCGGCGAGUUUUAACUCGGCCGGGUCGAGUUGAGUGGGUGAAGAAGUGUCUGAAUUGGGGUCAGUGGGCGUAUAAGUGGAUAGAAAUUGAAGGAGAGGAGUGAAAUCGUAACGGCGAUUCGGGUACGAAACGACGUCAUAUUCAUCCUCUUCCACUUCGACUUCGAGGUUAUCGAUAUUGAAUUGCUCGGAGAUAGAGAGAUGGGAAGUUGAGGCGGCGAAAGGCGGUGGUCGGAGAACUUGACGGUG